rnacentral:rRNA from 1 species
AUGGUGCCGUAACUUCGGGAGAAGGCACGCUGAUAUGUAGGUGAAGUCCCUCGCGGAUGGAGCUGAAAUCAGUCGAAGAUACCAGCUGGCUGCAACUGUUUAUUAAAAACACAGCACUGUGCAAACACGAAAGUGGACGUAUACGGUGUGACGCCUGCCCGGUGCCGGAAGGUUAAUUGAUGGGGUUAGCGGUAACGCGAAGCUCUUGAUCGAAGCCCCGGUAAACGGCGGCCGUAACUAUAACGGUCCUAAGGUAGCGAAAUUCCUUGUCGGGUAAGUUCCGACCUGCACGAAUGGCGUAAUGAUGGCCAGGCUGUCUCCACCCGAGACUCAGUGAAAUUGAACUCGCUGUGAAGAUGCAGUGUACCCGCGGCAAGACGGAAAGACCCCGUGAACCUUUACUAUAGCUUGACACUGAACAUUGAGCCUUGAUGUGUAGGAUAGGUGGGAGGCUUUGAAGUGUGGACGCCAGUCUGCAUGGAGCCGACCUUGAAAUACCACCCUUUAAUGUUUGAUGUUCUAACGUUGGCCCCUAAUCGGGGUUGCGGACAGUGUCUGGUGGGUAGUUUGACUGGGGCGGUCUCCUCCUAAAGAGUAACGGAGGAGCACGAAGGUUGGCUAAUCCUGGUCGGACAUCAGGAGGUUAGUGCAAUGGCAUAAGCCAGCUUGACUGCGAGCGUGACGGCGCGAGCAGGUGCGAAAGCAGGUCAUAGUGAUCCGGUGGUUCUGAAUGGAAGGGCCAUCGCUCAACGGAUAAAAGGUACUCCGGGGAUAACAGGCUGAUACCGCCCAAGAGUUCAUAUCGACGGCGGUGUUUGGCACCUCGAUGUCGGCUCAUCACAUCCUGGGGCUGAAGUAGGUCCCAAGGGUAUGGCUGUUCGCCAUUUAAAGUGGUACGCGAGCUGGGUUUAGAACGUCGUGAGACAGUUCGGUCCCUAUCUGCCGUGGGCGCUGGAGAACUGAGGGGGGCUGCUCCUAGUACGAGAGGACCGGAGUGGACGCAUCACUGGUGUUCGGGUUGUCAUGCCAAUGGCACUGCCCGGUAGCUAAAUGCGGAAGAGAUAAGUGCUGAAAGCAUCUAAGCACGAAACUUGCCCCGAGAUGAGUUCUCCCUGAGACUUUAAGUCUCCUGAAGGAACGUUGAAGACGACGACGUUGAUAGGCCGGGUGUGUAAGCGCAGCGAUGCGUUGAGCUAACCGGUACUAAUGAACCGUGAGGCUUAACCUUACAACGCCGAAG